rnacentral:rRNA from 1 species
CUAAAACUUAGCCCUAACAUAUAUUAUAACUACACCCCCCCCCCCGCCUGAAACUAAAACAUUCAAUUACUUUAGUAAAGGUGAUAGAAAGACAACUAGGCGCCAUAAAAACAGUACCGCAAGGGAAAACUGAAAUAAUACUGAAAUAACAAAAAGCAUAAAAAAAGCAAAGAUUACCCCUUGUACCUUUUGCAUCAUGGUCUAGCUAGUCUAACCAAGCAAAACGCAUUUUAAGUUUGACCCCCCGAAACUAAGCGAGCUACUUCAAAACAGCCUAAAGGGCCAACCCGUCUCUGUUGCAAAAGAGUGGGAAGAUUUUCAAGUAGCGGUGAUAAACCUACCGAGCUUAGAGAUAGCUGGUUAUUCAAGAAAAGGAUCCAAGUCCAACCUUAAGUUUUAUUUAACUUAUAAUAAUACCCUAAACUUAAGAGCCAUUCAAGUAGGGUACAGCCUACUUGAAGCAGGAUACAACCUAAAACACAGGGUAAUGACCUUUUUCACGUGACCAAGUAGGCCUGAAAGCAGCCAUCUUUAAAAAAGCGUUAAAGCCUAACCMCCCCCCCCCCCAAAAAAUACCACUUACCCCCCAAAACCCUUAAUUCCUAUUGAAUAAUUCCAUAUUUUAUGGAAAAACUCAUGCUAGAACUAGUAACAAGAAAAGAAUUUCUCCAAAAUGUAAGCAAAAGCCUUUAUGAACCCCCACCGGCACUUAAAGUCAAUGAACCAAAAGUAACAACUAUCAAGAAAAUCUUACUAACUUUAACGUCAACCUUACACUAGAACACUACCGGAAAGAUUAAAAAAAGAGGAAGGAACUCGGCAAACCACUAACCCCGCCUGUUUACCAAAAACAUCGCCUCCCGACCCCAUGGGAGGUCCAGCCUGCCCAGUGAUAAUUAUUAAACGGCCGCGGUACCCUAACCGUGCGAAGGUAGCGCAAUCACUUGUUUCCUAAAUAGGGACUAGUAUGAACGGCAUCACGAGGGUUAUACUGUCUCCCUCUUUCAAUCAGUGAAACUAAUCUCUCCGUGAAGAAGCGGAGAUAGACCUAUAAGACGAGAAGACCCCAUGGAGCUUUAAACUCAGCAUCCAACUAUUCUUUCCACACCAUAUUAACUUAAUAACCAUGAAUGCUAGUUUUCGGUUGGGGCGACCACGGAGUAAAAUCAAACCUCCGCGACGAAAGGAAACACACCCUAAUCUAAGAGCCACAGCUCGACCAAUCAAUAAAUUGACGUUUAUUGACCCAAUUAUUUGAUCAACGAACCUAGUUACCCUGGGGAUAACAGCGCAAUCCACUUCAAGAGCUCCUAUCGACAAGUGGGUUUACGACCUCGAUGUUGGAUCAGGGUAUCCUAGUGGUGCAGCCGCUACUAAAGGUUCGUUUGUUCAACGAUUAAAACCCUACGUGAUCUGAGUUCAAACCGGAGCAAUCCAGGUUGGUUUCUAUCUAUAAAGAGCUGAUCCCAGUACGAAAGGACCGGAACAGCGUGGCCUAUGUUUCUACAAGCCGCAGCUGCAAACUAAUGAUCCUCACUUAACUUAUAAAGCAGCCUCUUACAAAAUUCUAGAUAACAAUGU